CUAAGAAUAUUCCGCAAUGGACGGAAGUCUGACGGAGCGACGCCGCGUGGAUGACGAAGGCCGAAAGGUUGUAAAGUUCUUUUGCUGGGGAAGAAUAACCGCAGGAGGGAAUGCCUGUGGGAUGACAAGAACCGGCGAAUAAGCCCCGGCCAACUACGUGCCAGCAGCCGCGGUAACACGUAGGGGGCGAGCGUUGUUCGGAAUUACUGGGCGUAAAGGGCAUGUAGGCGGCUUGGAAAGCCUGGCGUGAAAGUCUGCAGCUUAACUGCAGGGGUGCGCUGGGAACUGCUGAGCUUGAGUGACGGAGAGGGAGCUGGAAUUCCUGGUGUAGGGGUGAAAUCUGUAGAUAUCAGGAAGAACACCGAUGGCGAAGGCAAGCUCCUGGCCGAUGACUGACGCUGAGGUGCGAAAAGUGUGGGGAUCAAACAGGAUUAGAUACCCUGGUAGUCCACACAGUCAACGAUGUGCACUAGGUGCUGGGGCGGUAGCUUCGGUGCCGGAGCGAACGUGGUAAGUGCACCGCCUGGGGAGUAUGCUCGCAAGGGUGAAACUCAAA
rnacentral:rRNA from 1 species